rnacentral:rRNA from 1 species
GUGAGGAAUAUUGGACAAUGGGCGCAAGCCUGAUCCAGCCAUGCCGCGUGCAGGAAGACGCAUCUAUGGUGUGUAAACUGCUUUUGUACGGGAAGAAACACUCCCUCGUGAGGGAGCUUGACGGUACCGUAAGAAUAAGGAUCGGCUAACUCCGUGCCAGCAGCCGCGGUAAUACGGAGGAUCCAAGCGUUAUCCGGAAUCAUUGGGUUUAAAGGGUCCGUAGGCGGUUUAAUACGUCAGUGGUGAAAGCCCAUCGCUCAACGAUGGAACGGCCAUUGAUACUGUUAGACUUGAAUUACAAGGAAGUAACUAGAAUAUGUAGUGUAGCGGUGAAAUGCUUAGAUAUUACAUGGAAUACCAAUUGCGAAGGCAGGUUACUACUUGUGGAUUGACGCUGAUGGACGAAAGCGUGGGGAGCGAACAGGAUUAGAAACCCUGGUAGUCC